AGUAACGCGUGAGGAACCUGCCUCAAAGAGGGGGACAACAGUUGGAAACGACUGCUAAUACCGCAUAAGCCCACGGCUCGGCAUCGAGCAGAGGGAAAAGGAGUGAUCCGCUUUGAGAUGGCCUCGCGUCCGAUUAGCUAGUUGGUGAGGUAAUGGCCCACCAAGGCGACGAUCAGUAGCCGACCUGAGAGGGUGACCGGCCACAUUGGGACUGAGACACGGCCCAA
rnacentral:rRNA from 1 species